rnacentral:rRNA from 1 species
UUAAGCGACUAAGCGUACACGGUGGAUGCCCUGGCAGUCAGAGGCGAUGAAGGACGUGCUAAUCUGCGAUAAGCGUCGGUAAGGUGAUAUGAACCGUUAUAACCGGCGAUUUCCGAAUGGGGAAACCCAGUGUGUUUCGACACACUAUCAUUAACUGAAUCCAUAGGUUAAUGAGGCGAACCGGGGGAACUGAAACAUCUAAGUACCCCGAGGAAAAGAAAUCAACCGAGAUUCCCCCAGUAGCGGCGAGCGAACGGGGAGCAGCCCAGAGCCUGAAUCAGUGUGUGUGUUAGUGGAAGCGUCUGGAAAGGCGCGCGAUACAGGGUGACAGCCCCGUACACAAAAAUGCACAUGCUGUGAGCUCGAUGAGUAGGGCGGGACACGUGGUAUCCUGUCUGAAUAUGGGGGGACCAUCCUCCAAGGCUAAAUACUCCUGACUGACCGAUAGUGAACCAGUACCGUGAGGGAAAGGCGAAAAGAACCCCGGCGAGGGGAGUGAAAAAGAACCUGAAACCGUGUACGUACAAGCAGUGGGAGCACGCUUAGGCGUGUGACUGCGUACCUUUUGUAUAAUGGGUCAGCGACUUAUAUUCUGUAGCAAGGUUAACCGAAUAGGGGAGCCGAAGGGAAACCGAGUCUUAACUGGGCGUUAAGUUGCAGGGUAUAGACCCGAAACCCGGUGAUCUAGCCAUGGGCAGGUUGAAGGUUGGGUAACACUAACUGGAGGACCGAACCGACUAAUGUUGAAAAAUUAGCGGAUGACUUGUGGCUGGGGGUGAAAGGCCAAUCAAACCGGGAGAUAGCUGGUUCUCCCCGAAAGCUAUUUAGGUAGCGCCUCGUGAAUUCAUCUCCGGGGGUAGAGCACUGUUUCGGCAAGGGGGUCAUCCCGACUUACCAACCCGAUGCAAACUGCGAAUACCGGAGAAUGUUAUCACGGGAGACACACGGCGGGUGCUAACGUCCGUCGUGAAGAGGGAAACAACCCAGACCGCCAGCUAAGGUCCCAAAGUCAUGGUUAAGUGGGAAACGAUGUGGGAAGGCCCAGACAGCCAGGAUGUUGGCUUAGAAGCAGCCAUCAUUUAAAGAAAGCGUAAUAGCUCACUGGUCGAGUCGGCCUGCGCGGAAGAUGUAACGGGGCUAAACCAUGCACCGAAGCUGCGGCAGCGACGCUGAUGCGUUGUUGGGUAGGGGAGCGUUCUGUAAGCCUGCGAAGGUGUGCUGUGAGGCAUGCUGGAGGUAUCAGAAGUGCGAAUGCUGACAUAAGUAACGAUAAAGCGGGUGAAAAGCCCGCUCGCCGGAAGACCAAGGGUUCCUGUCCAACGUUAAUCGGGGCAGGGUGAGUCGACCCCUAAGGCGAGGCCGAAAGGCGUAGUCGAUGGGAAACAGGUUAAUAUUCCUGUACUUGGUGUUACUGCGAAGGGGGGACGGAGAAGGCUAUGUUGGCCGGGCGACGGUUGUCCCGGUUUAAGCGUGUAGGCUGGUUUUCCAGGCAAAUCCGGAAAAUCAAGGCUGAGGCGUGAUGACGAGGCACUACGGUGCUGAAGCAACAAAUGCCCUGCUUCCAGGAAAAGCCUCUAAGCAUCAGGUAACAUCAAAUCGUACCCCAAACCGACACAGGUGGUCAGGUAGAGAAUACCAAGGCGCUUGAGAGAACUCGGGUGAAGGAACUAGGCAAAAUGGUGCCGUAACUUCGGGAGAAGGCACGCUGAUAUGUAGGUGAAGUCCCUCGCGGAUGGAGCUGAAAUCAGUCGAAGAUACCAGCUGGCUGCAACUGUUUAUUAAAAACACAGCACUGUGCAAACACGAAAGUGGACGUAUACGGUGUGACGCCUGCCCGGUGCCGGAAGGUUAAUUGAUGGGGUCAGCGCAAGCGAAGCUCUUGAUCGAAGCCCCGGUAAACGGCGGCCGUAACUAUAACGGUCCUAAGGUAGCGAAAUUCCUUGUCGGGUAAGUUCCGACCUGCACGAAUGGCGUAAUGAUGGCCAGGCUGUCUCCACCCGAGACUCAGUGAAAUUGAACUCGCUGUGAAGAUGCAGUGUACCCGCGGCAAGACGGAAAGACCCCGUGAACCUUUACUAUAGCUUGACACUGAACAUUGAGCCUUGAUGUGUAGGAUAGGUGGGAGGCUUUGAAGUGUGGACGCCAGUCUGCAUGGAGCCGACCUUGAAAUACCACCCUUUAAUGUUUGAUGUUCUAACGUUGACCCGUAAUCCGGGUUGCGGACAGUGUCUGGUGGGUAGUUUGACUGGGGCGGUCUCCUCCUAAAGAGUAACGGAGGAGCACGAAGGUUGGCUAAUCCUGGUCGGACAUCAGGAGGUUAGUGCAAUGGCAUAAGCCAGCUUGACUGCGAGCGUGACGGCGCGAGCAGGUGCGAAAGCAGGUCAUAGUGAUCCGGUGGUUCUGAAUGGAAGGGCCAUCGCUCAACGGAUAAAAGGUACUCCGGGGAUAACAGGCUGAUACCGCCCAAGAGUUCAUAUCGACGGCGGUGUUUGGCACCUCGAUGUCGGCUCAUCACAUCCUGGGGCUGAAGUAGGUCCCAAGGGUAUGGCUGUUCGCCAUUUAAAGUGGUACGCGAGCUGGGUUUAGAACGUCGUGAGACAGUUCGGUCCCUAUCUGCCGUGGGCGCUGGAGAACUGAGGGGGGCUGCUCCUAGUACGAGAGGACCGGAGUGGACGCAUCACUGGUGUUCGGGUUGUCAUGCCAAUGGCACUGCCCGGUAGCUAAAUGCGGAAGAGAUAAGUGCUGAAAGCAUCUAAGCACGAAACUUGCCCCGAGAUGAGUUCUCCCUGACUCCUUGAGAGUCCUGAAGGAACGUUGAAGACGACGACGUUGAUAGGCCGGGUGUGUAAGCGCAGCGAUGCGUUGAGCU